rnacentral:rRNA from 1 species
CAGCGGCGGACGGGUGAGUAACACGUGGGCAACCUGCCUGUAAGACUGGGAUAACUCCGGGAAACCGGAGCUAAUACCGGAUACUAUGUCAAACCGCAUGGUUUGACAUUCAAAGACGGUUUCGGCUGUCACUUACAGAUGGGCCCGCGGCGCAUUAGCUAGUUGGUGAGGUAAUGGCUCACCAAGGCGACGAUGCGUAGCCGACCUGAGAGGGUGAUCGGCCACACUGGGACUGAGACACGGCCCAGACUCCUACGGGAGGCAGCAGUAGGGAAUCUUCCGCAAUGGACGAAAGUCUGACGGAGCAACGCCGCGUGAGUGAUGAAGGUUUUCGGAUCGUAAAACUCUGUUGUCAGGGAAGAACAAGUGCCGGAGUAACUGCCGGCACCUUGACGGUACCUGACCAGAAAGCCACGGCUAACUACGUGCCAGCAGCCGCGGUAAUACGUAGGUGGCAAGCGUUGUCCGGAAUUAUUGGGCGUAAAGCGCGCGCAGGCGGUUUCUUAAGUCUGAUGUGAAAGCCCCCGGCUCAACCGGGGAGGGUCAUUGGAAACUGGGAAACUUGAGUGCAGAAGAGGAGAGUGGAAUUCCACGUGUAGCGGUGAAAUGCGUAGAGAUGUGGAGGAACACCAGUGGCGAAGGCGACUCUCUGGUCUGUAACUGACGCUGAGGCGCGAAAGCGUGGGGAGCGAACAGGAUUAGAUACCCUGGUAGUCCACGCCGUAACGAUGAGUGCUAAGUGUUAGAGGGUUUCCGCCCUUUAGUGCUGCAGCUAACGCAUU